rnacentral:rRNA from 1 species
UGGGGAAUUUUGGACAAUGGGCGAAAGCCUGAUCCAGCAAUGCCGCGUGUGUGAAGAAGGCCUUCGGGUUGUAAAGCACUUUUGUCCGGAAAGAAAUCCUUGGCUCUAAUACAGUCGGGGGAUGACGGUACCGGAAGAAUAAGCACCGGCUAACUACGUGCCAGCAGCCGCGGUAAUACGUAGGGUGCAAGCGUUAAUCGGAAUUACUGGGCGUAAAGCGUGCGCAGGCGGUUUGCUAAGACCGAUGUGAAAUCCCCGGGCUCAACCUGGGAACUGCAUUGGUGACUGGCAGGCUAGAGUAUGGCAGAGGGGGGUAGAAUUCCACGUGUAGCAGUGAAAAUGCGUAGAGAUGUGGAGGAAUACCGAUGGCGAAGGCAGCCCCCUGGCCAAGUACUGACGCUCAUGCACGAAAAGCGUGGGGAGCAAACAGGAUUAGAUACCCUGGUAGUCCACGCCCUAAAACGAUGUCAACUAGUUGUUGGGGAUUCAUUUCCUUAGUAACGUAGCUAACGCGUGAAGUUGACCGCCUGGGGAGUACGGUCGCAAGAUUAAAAACUUAAAGGAAUUGACGGGGUCAUAGCUGUUUCCU